CCUUCAAUUAGAGUGCCUCUGAAAGACAGGGUGUAUUCCAGCUGGCAUUGGGACAACCUAAAGUUUAAACCUUUGGGUGAAAAAGUGCCAACUUGGGAGACAUAUUAUCAAGACUGAAUCAGAGAGUUGACAGCAUACCAGGAAGUGUCACUGUAUAGUUUGGAAGAUGGAAAUCAUACUACUUUUUUCCCAUGUAAGCACUCCAGGAAAUUAACCUCCAAAUACAACUGAGGAAUAGGCACCGUUAUGGCUUUUUUACAGAUCAAUAAACUGAUGAAAUACGGUGAAGCUAUGUAAGUAGACCAAAGAUGUACAAGAAGACACACAUUGAGCAGAAAAUAAAUUUAAGCCUGGCUUCUCAACUCUUUAUUUAACCAGAGACGGUUCUAUCUCAAACAUGAGGUUCUAUAUGAAAGCAGGAGGGAAUUAGGAAGUAAAAUCUGGUGAGCAUUUUUCCUGAAAUAUUACAGCUGUCAUUCUCAGGGCCCUCGUCCUGAGAUAGUGGCAGGUUAAGAUAUUAAAUUUUUAUUUCUCUGGGAACUCUUCAUGGACUAUUGCCAUAUCAAUGACAAUGCAGACAGAAGUGCAGGUGAUUUUAAAGAACAGACUGCUUGACGUACCCUGUGUCUAGUACAGCUACACCCUAGAGCAGUUAGCAGUGCUUAUCUGAAUUCUUUGUUAUUUGUCAAAAAGAUUAUUGUUUUCUGACACAAUCUUUCUUUUCUAAGAAAAAAAAAAAAGCAGUGGUACAUAUUCUAACUAUGCUUUAGAAUCCCAGCUUCUGUCCUAAAGAUAAAAAUUUCAAGAUGACUCCAAAAGGAAAAAAAGUGAUAUGGAUAUAAGUCAAGUGUUUUUAAGCUUUAAAACCAUGAUAUCCUAUUUCUCUUUCUCUAUUUUUUCUUUUAAUGCAUUAAGCAUAAUCUCAUACAACCAGGAAUGUAAACCGUGACCAGUUUACCAAGAAAGGCUAAACUCAAAAGAACAUAUAAUGAUAUGUUUGUCUUUCCUUUAUUGUCUUUGCAUUUAAUUUUCAUAUAUAUCCAUAUUUGUGCAGUGACUUUGAAUUUGUCUCCUGGAGGCAGAUGCUCAUGCAGGUUUAACUACUGAAAACUAUAGAUGGAAAUGUUGAUGACUAGGAGAGAAUACACUGGGCAAUGUGGACAGGGCCAGAAUAUUUUGCAUGAGCGGGAAGCAGGAUUCUGUCAUCAAAGGAAACCAGUGUGCACUGUUGUUUGGUGAGGAAACUAGCACAUAGAUAAGAAACUCUUUUGAUUACCUCCGCUAUAUAUCUAAAGGAUGUUAUUCCCAAUGGAUUGCUCUAAGGGCUUUUCACUGUAGUUUUAAUAAUGGCCAUGCCAACAUUGUAUCUUUUAAGAAUAUUGAAAGAGACCAAUUUGGGAGACUGUGACCAGUAUGAGUGUUCACUUCACCAAACUAUCUCUGCUAAACUCUGAGGAUCUGGAGGUUGGGGGAUGAAAUGCUCUGAAGAUGAUACUGGAGGCAAAUAUUUUCCUUGUUACUCUUCUUUUCUCUCAGCAAAGUGACUAUAAGGUGUUUUAGUCCAUUAAAUUAACUGAAUAGCCGGGGGCAGUGGCUCAUGCCUAUAAUCCCAGCACUUUGGGAGACAAAGGCAGGCGGAUCACCUAAGGUCAGGAGUUUGAGACCAGCCUGACCAACAUGGUGAAACCCUGUCUUUACUAAAAAUACAAAAUUAGCUGGGCGUGGUGGCGCAUGCCUGUAAUCCUAGCUACUCUGGAGGCUGAGGCAUGAGAAUCCGUGGAACCUGGCAGGCGGAGGUUGCAGUGAGCCAAGAUCGUGCCAUUGCACUCUGGCCUGGGCAACAAGAGUGAAACUCCACAUCAAAAAAUAAAUAAAUAAAUAAAUAAAUAAAUAAAUAAAUAAAUAAAUAGAAUAGAUGUGUACCCUCAUGAAAUCAAUAAUUAGAAAAAAUAAGUAAAAAGAAUAGAUACAAUGAGUUUUUAAAAUUUACUUGGCAAUGAUAAUAGCAAUGAAAAUACUAACUCAUAGAGUAAGUCCUAUGUGCCAGGCACUCUUAGAAGUACUUUGCAUUUAUCAUCUUAUCUCACAGUCACAAAACCCCAUAUGAUGGGUACUAAUAUUAUUCUUGUUUUAUAAUAGAGGCAGAUUUGAGAUUCAAUCCUAGGUAGUGUGGUUUCAGAGUCUACACUCUUUAUUACUGAGGUACUGCCUCUCAUAAAACAAAGCUAUGUGUUUUUUUGACUUGGUUUGAUGACAGGACCACAGCUUGGGCUUGUCUAAGUUUAUGCCUUUCUCAGUUUUAUCUUAUCUUGCUCUACCAUUUCUUACCUUUCCUAGAUGUUCUCACCCCACUUGCCCAGCCCAGUAUCCCAUGCUUUACUGCUUCCCUGUACUUUUAGUCUAAUAAAAAAGCACCUGAUGAAAUAUA